AGCGUAGGUGGCCUAACAUGUCAACUGUGAAAACCCGGAGCUCAACUCCGGACUUGCAGUUGAAACUGGUAGGCUUGAGGACGGCAGAGGAAGACGGAACUGCCAGUGUAGGGGUAAAAUCCUUAGAUAUUGGCAGGAACGCCGGUGACGAAGGUGGUUUUCUGGGCCGGUUCUGACACUGAUGCUCGAAAGCCAGGGGAGCGAACG
rnacentral:rRNA from 1 species